CCAUAUCUAAGAUGUCUGGAGAUUAUAUUGUAUAUUAUAUUGUACUGUAUUUUGCUCUAUUGAAGACUAUUGUCUGGCCAUCUCAGGGUUGUCUCAGAGCUAAACUAGGCCAGUCAAGGCUUCUCUGCCCACCCUCCCUGAGAUGGUCAGACAGCUAGCAUUGUUUUCACAUACAAUUUGCUUUGUGCUUGAGUGUGAGAGAGCUCUGUAACCCCACCGUGGAAAGCCUCAGAGAGAGCCCUGCCUUCAAGCAUGAAGGCUUCAAGAGAGCCCUUCCCUGCUGCUGGAAACCUGAGAAACCACGAGGCAAGCACACAAGCCAGGCUGUCCAUCAACAGAACAGGACAUGUCACAGGAAGUUGUUGUGCAAACAGGAAGGACAGAAUGAAGAGUGGAAGAUGACGUCCACAUCAGAGGAAAUACAAUGCACCUUGAGCAUCAUAUGGAAUCCAAAAUCCAAUCAUCAUCAUCAUCUGAGCCAAAUUGCGAGCCGCAUAUCCAGGCAUGGAGAUAAAGCCACAUUCCUCACAAUGACAGAACCUGAGACGCGGUAG
rnacentral:lncRNA from 1 species